AACAAGGCGUACCUGCGGACCUGCGGAGGGAUCAUUAUCCAUCCAAAACCAGCUGCGGUCGCGGCCCCACGCUUACCCGUGGCGGUACGCGCCGCACGUCUGCACCCUUUUUUUACGAGUACCUUCGUUCUCCCUCGGCAGGGCAACCUGCCGUUGGAACCAUACAAAACCUUUUUUUGCAUCUAGCAUUACCUGUUCUGAUACAAACAAUCGUUACAACUUUUAACAACGGAUCUCAGA
rnacentral:misc_RNA from 1 species